rnacentral:rRNA from 1 species
CCUACGGGGGGCAGCAGUGGGGAAUAUUGCACAAUGGGGGAAACCCUGAUGCAGCCAUGCCGCGUGUGUGAAGAAGGUCUUCGGAUUGUAAAGCACUUUCGACGGGGACGAUGAUGACGGUACCCGUAGAAGAAGCCCCGGCUAACUUCGUGCCAGCAGCCGCGGUAAUACGAAGGGGGCUAGCGUUGCUCAGAAUGACUGGGCGUAAAGGGCGCGUAGGCGGUUUAUGCAGUCAGAUGUGAAAUCCCCGGGCUUAACCUGGGAACUGCAUUUGAGACGCAUAGACUAGAGGUCGAGAGAGGGUUGUGGAAUUCCCAGUGUAGAGGUGAAAUUCGUAGAUAUUGGGAAGAACACCGGUGGCGAAGGCGGCAACCUGGCUCGAUACUGACGCUGAGGCGCGAAAGCGUGGGGAGCAAACAGGAUUAGAUACCCGUGUAGUC